rnacentral:lncRNA from 1 species
GCGUUAUCACACACUACUGUUGCAACGACUGCGGUAACCUGAACUUGCAGUACGUAAUACUAAUAUUUAAACCAGAGAAGUGAAAGAACACCUGAAAAUUCCUACCUAUAGAUACUGUAUAGUCCGUUGUAAAUUUGUUUUAUGAUAAUAUUGUUUUAUGAACACUCGGAAGAUACUCUAUAUGAUAUAUGCAUGUAUAUCAUAAAUUUAGAGCCUAUAUACUGACGUUACUGGACACGAUUAUGGUUACAUCAUAUGAUAGAUUCCUGUUUCAGAAAAAUUGUCACUGCGUGCUGAUUUUUUAGUUACGUUCCUCAAAUUUGGUACAUG